rnacentral:rRNA from 1 species
GUGCCAGCAGCCGCGGUAAUACGAACCGUCCAAACGUUAUUCGGAAUUACUGGGCUUAAAGGGUACGUAGGCGGCGCUGUCAGUCGGGUGUGAAAUCCCACGGCUCAACCGUGGAAUUGCGCCCGAUACUGCAGUGCUUGAGGGAGACAGAGGUAAGCGGAACUGAUGGUGGAGCGGUGAAAUGCGUUGAUAUCAUCAGGAACACCAGUGGCGAAAGCGGCUUACUGGGUCUCUUCUGACGCUGAGGUACGAAAGCCAGGGGAGCGAAGGGGAUUAGAAACCCUGGUAGUCC